ACUGUGUUCUAUUUCUGUCGGCAACGACUGCUACGGCUCCUAGUUAAACGGUUGAACGUUCUUCGGUUCUGCAGAAAAGUAUAGGCAAAGAUCGAACGCCGUUGAUGUGUUCGCAAUGUGCGUGUUACGGGGAUCGAAUGUGACCAUAGAAACCGACUAGCCAAAGUCCGGAUCGCAGUGAACGUGAAGGCGCCCUCGAAUCGGGGGCUCUAUCAAGGCUCCCAGUUCUCAUGUGACGCCUGAUGGAUACGCAGAGCGCUCUUCCGUGCGUAUUAACGCGUGCGCUAGUCGUAUCCGACUGUACGUUGCGAGAGCUCCCCGGGACUGAUGUUACAGUGUUGCAACGUGCAGGACUAUCAUCAUCAUCAGCAGCAGCAGCAGCAGCAGCAGCAGCAGCAGCCUGUAAAUCGGCACCAGCGAAAGCGGACGGACGCCUCUACGCAACGAGGACAGGCCUCUGCUCAACUGCGCCGUCAAAGCGGCAUUCACGCUGCGGCUGUUCGUCCUGGAGCGGAGCUGAAGGCCGAGAAAACCAUGCACAUGACCAACAACGCACACUACAUAUUCACUCGUACCGUGCAGAAAAUGGCACGACGUAUAUAGCUCCUCCACAUAAUUGCAAUACCUGUACAGGGGCCCGGAGAGAGCAAAAUGUAUAUUGAGAUCAAAUUCUCACUCGGCAUGCAGCUGGCCACUCCAAAGGUUCUUCCAACACGCCACUUGUUUCAAAUCAGCGUCAAAAAAAAAAAAAAAAAAACAUGAAUUCCAUUUAUGAUGUGCGCCACAUCAGCGUUGUCUAGUCUCAUACGCGAUGUAUACUGGAGGACUGCCGAAAAUUCUUAUAGAGCGUACAAAAUAAAAAUGCAAUUUUUUAAAAGAAACCAAAGAAAUGAGAAAGGCGGACGUGGGAAAACCGACUACGGUCCUAAUUUUCUCGCUAAUUAUUUCAUACACUAAUUAACCUUGAUUAGCGCAUUUAUAUGGCUUCAGAGAAUGAAAAGUUCGUGGUAGUUGUCGAAGUGAUCAGCUAUCAAUUUGCAAAUCGCGCGAGAAGUCAUUCUAGGUUCUACAGCAGAAGAAUUUUUCUGACUUUUUCCGCUGGGAAACUGAAACUGGGCGCUUGUGGGGAAACCACGUGCACAAACCGUACCACGCAAUGCGAACCAUCUUUAUUGUUUCGCUGUGGUGAUUACGGCUCAUGAAGUGUCCUUGGCUUCACUGUGACGUUGGCACUGCAGAAUAUCGGCAAUGACCUAUCAUUGACACCGCUAACCUAAUUCUUUCCUUAGUGCUAGAAAUGUGCUCAUUUUCUGUGAUUUUAUGUUUUAACGUUUUAUUUCAAGACGUAGUAGUCCCAACGUAUGUGACACAUAAAACCACAGACUGUUCACUGGUGUUUUGAAUGGAUGUAAAGCAACAAUACCUCGAUUUGGGUGAGUUGGUUUAUCUUGACAGUGUUGAAAAAACGCGCUAAAGACGAAGACGACACGAGCACAUACGAUAGGACGGGCGCUGAAUUUCCAAUUAUAGCGUUUAUUUCAAACGAUCGUCCAUUUUAUGCUCUGCACAGCAGGUACCUCAUCCACCCAUCAUCAUACAAAAGAUUGUAUGCAGCAGAGCCACGGUAGCGUUCCGCCUUCCACUGCUGGCAUGGGCGCUAAGUCAAUCAGUUCAUGCAUAAGAUUCUAUAGUCCAUUCGUUCACGUGUCUAGAUACCUAUAUUUCUUUCGAGGUACCUAUAUAGACACGUGAAAGCAUUGACUAUACGAUCUUAUGAGAUGAUUGAGUUAUACAAUCUUCUGUAUGACGAUGCGUGCAUGUGGUAUCUAUUGCGUAGAGCAUAAUAUGGAUGAUAGUUUUAAAUAAAGGCUAGGUCGAAGUUCAGCGCCCCACCUGU